GUUAAAAAAAAAAUGAAAGCUCUGAAUUGUGAACUCUUUGGGAAAGGGGUUACGCAUUGGUCAUCCCUAGCACUGAGCCUGGCACAUAGUAGGAAGCUGGGGGUGGGGAUCAUUCGUUCAGCCAAGCUCUUCUGCACCCCUACUAUGCACCAGAGUUGGAUGAUAUAGACGGGGACCCCAUCCCCUCCCGAACCUUGGACCUUGAUUUCAGAGGACUACCACCAGAUAACCCCUCAGGUCAGCAUCCUUCACCUGCAGGAAGGAAACCGGCGUCUCCUGAGUUUU